UUUUUUUGAAAUCUAUCGUUCAGUAGGGGUAAAUUACUCUUAAUGGGGGAAAAAAAAAGGAAUCCUACAUAGUUUUCCCUUCAAGCCAAGUAUCUUGU
rnacentral:pre_miRNA from 1 species